CCCCGUACAGCGUUCCCUCCGCUCGCUGAUCGAGUUCUCUCGGGCGAGUUGUGGGCCGGUGUGCGAGGAUUCUGCCACCCUUACGCAAUGGGCAUGUGAGUGGUGCUUGGGACGUGCGUGUUGGCAGGCUCCGUGCUCUUACGCAUCGAACUGUCGACCCUCGCUCCUCUUAAGUCUUUGCCUCACGGUCUGCGUGACCGGGGGCGCAAUCGGGAUCCUGUGCUGCUUACCCGUAAUGACGGAACUCGGUUGUCGUGCCGUCCCUCUUCGGUCUCGCGCCCCUAAGGGCUGCGCAGAAGGACUUCAUUCAUGCCUCGCGUUCCAGGUGUGCCCCCGAAUUCGAUGCGGCCGCCUGCGUGCGCGGGUGCUUGAUCUUCGCUAGCGGAUUCGGAAAGCUUUGUGGGCUUGGGGCCAUGCCCCCUCUCGGUUGUUGCGAUUCGGUUUUGUCCCUGAACACGUACGACGCUCGUGCCCCGUCUUGGACUCUCCGCUGCACUCGCGGUGCGUUGAGGCC
rnacentral:misc_RNA from 1 species